UUCUUGCCAGCUAUACUCCCUCCCUCCAUUCUUCCUUGAAGUCACAAUCCUCUGUUGGUGACAUCACAGUUGUUGAUACAAUAGCCAACUGUUGUGAUGUCACAGGACUCAACUUUUGUCAUUUUAGGUGGGGGUGCUGGGGUGGAGAAUGUGACAGAGGACAAGAAUAGAAUACAGUUAUAGAACUGGAAUUCGCUUUUUCUUGCUAAUUUCCCUGAUAAUGAAGGGCAGUGACUCAGAAAAGGAAAGGCAAGCCUCUGGCAGCAAGGCUGUGUGUAGAUUCAUCUAUACCAAGGGGAGGAUGGUGGGGAGGCAGGGAGGAGACAAAAGAAAAGAAUUUCGAAUUCCAGGAUUGGCCAAAUAUGAAGAUGCUCUUAGUCUGGCCAAGUCCAGGACCUUCUCUUUCCCUCACCUAUCGCCUGAGCCCAGAAAUAUGUUCCAGAGGACAAGGACUGUGUUGUUCAUCACAGUAUUCCAGAACUUAAAAGGAACUGGCACAUAAUUGGAGCUUACUAAUAUUUGUCAAAAAAAUGAACAAAUGAGGCAAUGACAAUGGUCUUGUGAAGCUGCUGCUAUUUACGGAGACUCACUCAUUCCGCAAGUAUUUUUUGCACCCCCUACCACACUCCACUCAGUUACAUGCUGGGAAUACCACAGUAAAGGCAGAUAAGUCCUCAAUCUCCCUGUAGGAAGCUUGGGGAAUGUGCCUCCUGCCCUCUUCUAGACCAGUCAGCAUGCUCACCAAGCACACUAAAGCCACCCAAGUCACAGCUGACUCAUGCCAUUGCUCUUUGUAAUGAGGUAUGACAUGUUUCUAAGCUCUUGUAUAUUUUUAUAUUUGUAGCCUACAAUUAGGCAUUUUUGAGGGAUGUAGCUGACUAGGGGUUCUGUUCAGUGACCUAUAAUUAUACAUUCAGGCAUCAUGGUCAAUCCAGGCAACUCUCAGGCCUGCAGGAACCUCAUGGAGGAAGCCACUUGGCUCUAAGAAGCUCCAGAGAAUACUGUAGUAAUGUGGCUUAGAAGGGCCACACUGCCCCUCCUUCCUGCUCUUGGAGGCACUCCCUCUAUGUCCCCUUCAUCUCCCUUAUCACUCACUGCCUGACUCAGCAAUGCCUGCCAAGCCCAAGUGCUGACACAUUUGUGGAUCUAGUGCCAGCAGAGGACGACUUUGAGGGACAGUCUCCAUUGCCAAGGUAACAGCAAUGUAAAGCAACUUCUUUUUUUUUUUUUUUUUUUUUUGAGACAGAGUCUCACUUUGUCACCCAGGCUGGAGUGCAGUGGCACGAUCUCAGCUCCCCACAACCUCUGCUUCCCAGGUUCAUGUAAUUCUCGUGCCUCAGCCUCCUGAGUAGCUGGGAUUACAGGCACAUACCACCACUCCCAGCCAAUUUUUGUAUUUUUAGUAGAGACGGAGUUUCACCAUGUUGGCCAGGCUGGUCUUGAACUCCUGACCUCAAGUGAUUCGCCCGCCUUGGCCUCCCAAAGUGCUGGGAUUACAGGUGUGAACCACCGUGCCUGGUCAUAAAGCAACUUCAAAAAACUCCCAUAAGCGUCUCAUCUUAGAAAAAAGGGGUCACACACCCCGUUCAUGGGACCCUGCAGUCAGCUGCUGUGCCUCCGCUCUGAGCCAGCCUUUUUGCCACCUGUUGCAGUGGUCACACUGAUCCUAAUCCUCCCCCAUGCAAAUGCCUACCACCUAGCUUUACCACUAUUUCCCUGGCUGGGAAAGAAGGACUGGUUUAGCACAAAAAAUCUGUCCCUUAUGACAUUUCACAUAUACAUUUGGCUCCAAUAAAACUCAUUUGUUGGGCCAAGUGCGGUGGCUCAUGACUGUAGUCUCAGCACUGUGGGAGGCCAAGGCAGGCAGAUCACCUGAACCCAGGAGUUCAAGACCAGCCUGGGUAACAUAGUGAGGCUCCAUAUCUACAAAACAUAAAAAAGAAAUAAAGGGGCAAAAAAAGAUUUCUUGAUUUUUUUUAAGAGCAGCUCAAAUCCUGGCAUUUAAUCAAAGAGACUGCCAGUAGCCCACCUUUGUGUAGCUGUGAAGGGCAAUUGUGGCCCAUGCUCAGAGCAGCAUCUGCAUUAAGUAUGAGCCCAGUAUCUAAACUACAAUUACUUUGCAAGUUUCCCUUCUUCCCCAAUGCAAAGUACUUUAGAGUACUUUAUACUGUUCAAAAACACUUUCACAUAUUAUCUCA